UCAUUUGUCAUUUGUCAUGUUUAUGUUGCCUAUAUUAUUAAAACUAGCAUUAUUUGUGUAGCCUACAUUGAAGAACAACUACCAUCUGUGUUUUUAGUCUUGUCUUUAUUCUGCAGAAAAUUUAAAAACUGUUCUAAAGUAUAUCCUAAUACUAAAACUUACAAAACAUUAUUAUAACAAUGCUAACAAACCUAAAUUUUCCUUUAGAAACUAUUCUUAAAAUUAUCUACUCUCUAGAAUUAUAACAGCAAAAUAAAAAAGUGCACUUAUGAAAAAAAAAUACCAAAACUAAAACUGCAGCAAAACUCCAAUCAUAAAAAAAGUGUGCCGUACAUUUCCUAUAGAAUAUAAUUUACUUUUUUAAUAGUCUUUUUAUAAUACAUUAUGUGUAUCUUUAUUAGUAUCUCCUUUCAAUUUUAGAGCACAUUAUCAUUUUGAUCAUUAUUCUUCCUACAUGCAUAAUGGACUUCAACUUAAUAAUUGGUUCUCAAAUUUUAUUUUCUUUGUACCGAUUUAAAUUGGUUAUAUGUAACAUUUCAAAUGAGAAAUUCUUUAUUAGUGAGAAAAUGAAAUAAAAUUUGUAAAUAAAGAUUAAAAUGAAAGGGUUACAUAUUUAUUUAUUGGUGAACCAUAUUUCUUAUAUUCUUCUAUGCUUUAUAAGUGUUUGUGUAUUUUAUAAAAUACUCAUUGCCAUUUUGUUUAGGUAUCUAUUCCAAUGGAUAAAUCUUGGAUUGUUAAGCCUCGGAAUACAAUUGAAUACUCAAUUGGUUUAAAAAAAUUCUUAGAUUUUGCUUUUGAAAAUGGGGCUGUUGGAGAUACAAUUAAAUGCCCAUGUCCUAAAUGUGGGUUUAUGAAAUGGCAAACUAGAGGCGUAGUUGAGGAGCACUUGAUUUUAAAAGCAUUUCCCAAAAAUUAUGUUAUAUGGAAUCUUCAUGGUGAGAAACAAAUAGAAGAUAUUUCUAGUAAUGAAGAUGAUAUACAAGAGGCAUUUCAUUAUGAAAAUCCAAUGGAAACAAUGAUCAAUGAAGCAUUUGGGCACUAUAGGCAAGAAGGUACUAAUCUAGGCAAAACACAACCAUUGGGUGUAGAUGAUGUUUUGAAUGAAAGGCCAAAGGAGUAUCAUAAUGAGUUUAUUGAUUUUCUCAAUGAUGGAAAUCAAACAUUGUGUGACGGGAACAAGUACACAAAAUUAGAGUUUGUAAUCAAAUUAUAUCACAUCAAGGUUUUGUGUGGAUUAAGUGACAAGGAAAUGACUAUGAUCCUAGAUUUGUUAAAAGAUGCAUUUAAUGAAGCAAACUUGCCUCUUUCUUUUUAUGAGGCUAAGAAAACCAUCAACAAACUUGGUCUUAGUUAUACCAAAAUAGAUGCAUGUCCGAAUGAUUGUAUGUUAUAUUUAAGAGAUGAUGAAAAAGAUUUGCAAACAUGCAAACAUUGCGGUACAUCUAGAUGGAACCCAAAGAAGAAAAAAAAACAACCUGCAAAAGUUUUGCGUUACUUUCCAUUGAAACCAAGAUUGCAAAGAUUGUUUAUGUGUUCUAAGACUGCAGAGCAUAUGAGAUGGCAUUCUUUAGAGAACAAAGAUGGGUUCAUAAGGCAUCCAAGGGACGGUGAGGCAUGGAAAACAUUUAGUUUAUUGCAUCCUGAGUUUGCUUCUGAUCCUCGAAAUGUUCGUUUAGGCCUUGCUAGUGAUGGUUUUAAUCCUUUUGGUACUAUGAGUUCUACUUAUAGUAUUUGGCCAGUGUUUUUAAUUCCAUACAAUCUUCCACCAUGGAUAUGUAUGAAGCACACUUCAUUGAUCCUAUCCAUGAUCAUUCCAGGCAAGCAAAUGCCAGGAAAUAAUAUUGAUGUGUACUUACAACCCCUUGUGGAUGAGUUACGUGAGCUAUGGAAUGAUGGUGUGGAGACCUUUGAUUCUUCAUUGAAUGAAACUUUUAGGAUGCGAGUAGCUCUUAUGUGGACAAUUAGUGACUUUCCUGGCCUAGGCAUUUUAUCUGGUUGGAACACACACACAGGUUUAGCUUGCCCUACUUGUAACUUUGAUGCAAUACCUUGUCGUCUUCCUUAUAGUAAGAAGUGGUGUUUUAUGGGGCAUCGUCGCUUUUUGAGUAGAAACCAUAGAUUCAGAUUGAAUCGUGUUCGCUUUGAUGGAAACACUGAAACAAGGAAUCCACCACUAAAAUUAUCAGGAUCUGACAUUUUUAGGCAAGUUGAAAAUAUUAAUGUUACAUUUGGGAGAGGAGUAAUUUUGGAUGGUAGAGGAAAAAGAUCUAGAGAAGAAGUUAAACAAUGGAAAAAAAGAAGCAUUUUCUUUGAACUUCCGUAUUGGGAGUCUAAUUUGUUACGCCAUAAUUUAGAUUUCAUGCAUAUUGAAAAAAAUGUAUUUGACAAUUUGGUAUAUACUUUGUUAAAUGAAAAGCCUAAAUCCAAAGACAAUGUAAAUGCUAGGAAAGAUUUAAAGGAAAUGGGCAUAAGAGAGGAUCUUUGGCCAGAUGAUAAUGGAAGAUAUCACCUUGCUUUGUUUUCACUAACUCGUGAUACCAAAAAGUUGUUUCUCAAAACUUUGAAAAAUGUUAUAGUACCGGAUGGUUACUCAAGUAACAUUUCUAGAUGUGUUGAUGAGGUGCAACAAAAAAUAUUUGGGCUAAAAAGUCACGAUUGCCAUAUUAUUAUGGAGCAAUUACUACCGCUGGCAAUACGUAAUUUGUUACCAAACCAUGUCACUGCAACCUUGGUGGAGUUUUGCUCAUUUUUUAAAGUCCUUUGUAGUAAAAGUUUAAAUCCACAAGAACUUGAAAUGCUUCAAGAUCGCAUUGUGCUAACACUUUGCCACUUAGAGAUGUUAUUCCCACCAUCAUUCUUCACAAUUAUGGUUCAUUUAACUGUCCAUCUGGUAGAGGAAGCAAAACUUGGAGGUCCAGUUCAUUAUCGAUAUAUGUAUCCUAUAGAAAGGGAAUUAGGUCAUUUAAAGACCUUUGUACGAAACAAGGCAAAACCAGAAGGUUCUAUAGCUGAGGGAUACUUAGCUGAAGAGUCUCUUACCUUUUGUUCUAGAUACAUUGAAGAUAUAGAGACAAGGUUCAAUAGACCAAGACGUGUUUGUGAUAAAACAGGUGAUAAUGUGCCUUUUCUGUCAUCUAUCUUCCCACAAGGUGGGAAGCCAGUAGGAGGUUCCUCGAAUUUUACUUUAACUCAGAUGCAAAAACUACAAGCCCAUCGAUAUGUGCUUUUAAAUUGUCCAAUAGUCACACCAUUUGUUGAGUGAGUAAUCUACAUUAAGUGUGUGAUUUGUAUUUAAACUAAUUAAAUUAUAUUAGUCAUGUUGUUUGAUUAUAUAUGUAGUGAAUUUAGACAACUAAUAAAAAGAAGUUCAAAGGGAAGGCAACCUUCAACCACUGAGAUCGAAACUAGAGUGUUUAAAGAGUUUGUUGAUUGGUUUCAAAGGCGGGUUAGGAAGGACAUAUAUAUAAAGAACCUAUAAUAAAAAGUGUACUCUUUAUUCUCUGGUUCUCUUUCUUCUCUAGUUCUCUUUCUUCUCUGGUUCUCUUCACAGGUUAUAACUUAUAUAUAGUUUCUUGCACUUCAUUAAAUGCAUUCUGGUUGUGAAUUUUAACUAUCUAAAGCAUUUUUUUUCAUCUGUUAGGUCUGACCUUGUUGUGAACUUACCAAUUGUUCUGAUCUAAGUGCACCUCACUUGGUACUUUCAUCAAGUGAAUCAUCAAAUUCUAUAAGCUGUGGCAGUGUUCCCUUCAAGUGAG